rnacentral:rRNA from 1 species
GAACGCUGGCGGCAUGCUUAACACAUGCAAGUACGAACGCGAAAGUCCUUCGGGGCGAGUAGAGUGGCGGACGGGUGAGUAACGCGUGGGAAUCUACCCUAGAGCGGGGGACAACCCGGGGAAACCCGGGCUAAUACCGCAUACGUCCUACGGGAGAAAGAGGGCCUCUGCUUGCACGCUCUCACUCCAGGAUGAGCCCGCGUCCGAUUAGCUAGUUGGUAGGGUAAAGGCCUACCAAGGCCACGAUCGGUAGCUGGUCUGAGAGGAUGAUCAGCCACACUGGAACUGAGACACGGUCCAGACUCCUACGGGAGGCAGCAGUGGGGAAUCUUGCGCAAUGGGCGAAAGCCUGACGCAGCGACGCCGCGUGAGUGAUGAAGGCCUUCGGGUUGUAAAGCUCUGUGGGAGGAGACGAAUAAGUCGUAGCGAACAGCUCCGAUGAUGACGGUAUCCUUUUAGCAAGCACCGGCUAACUCCGUG